rnacentral:rRNA from 1 species
AGAGUUUGAUCAUGGCUCAGGAUGAACGCUGGCGGUCUGCUUAACACAUGCAAGUCGAACGGAGUAGAAAUACUUAGUGGCGGACGGGUGAGUAACGCGUGAGAAUCUGCCUUCAGGACGGAGACAACAGUUGGAAACGACUGCUAAGCCCCGAUGAACCGAAAGGGAAAAUAUUUAUAGCCUGAAGAUGAGCUCGCGUCCGAUUAGCUAGUUGGCGGAGUAAAAGCCCACCAAGGCGACGAUCGGUAGCUGGUCUGAGAGGACGAUCNGCCACACUGGGACUGAGACACGGCCCAGACUCCUACNGGGAGGCAGCAGUGGGGAAUUUUCCNGCAAUGGGCGAAAGCCUGACGGAGCAAGACCNGCGUGGGGGAAGAAGGCUCUUGGGUUGUAAACCCCUUUUCUCUGGGAAGAAAGUUGUGAAAGCAACCUGACGGUACCAGAGGAAUCAGCAUCGGCUAACUCCGUGCCAGCAGCCGCGGUAAGACGGAGGAUGCAAGCGUUAUCCGGAAUGAUUGGGCGUAAAGCGUCCGCAGGUGGCAGUUCAAGUCUGCUGUCAAAGACCGGGGCUUAACUUCGGAAAGGCAGUGGAAACUGAACAGCUAGAGUAUGGUAGGGGCAGAGGGAAUUCCUGGUGUAGCGGUGAAAUGCGUAGAGAUCAGGAAGAACAUCGGUGGCGAAGGCGCUCUGCUGGACCAUAACUGACACUCAGGGACGAAAGCUAGGGGAGCGAAUGGGAUUAGAUACCCCGGUAGUCC